rnacentral:misc_RNA from 1 species
CGAGUUCAGCUGCAGCAACACCCCCAACUUCCCCCACACCACCGCCACCAAGCGCAAGAACCGCCACCACUUCAAGUUCGACGCCGCCGCAGUCGCCAAGGCCUUCGAGAUCCUCAACUCCGAGACCAUCGAUCCGGUGGCCGUAGUUUCACCAUUGCCCAUGUCCAUCUCGGUGUCGAACUUGGGGAAGAGUCCGAUGGGG